rnacentral:rRNA from 1 species
GAUGAACGCUGGCGGCGUGCCUAAUACAUGCAAGUCGAGCGAACGGACGAGGAGCUUGCUCCUCUGAGGUUAGCGGCGGACGGGUGAGUAACACGUGGAUAACCUACCUAUAAGACUGGGAUAACUUCGGGAAACCGGAGCUAAUACCGGAUAAUAUGUUGAACCGCAUGGUUCAACAGUGAAAGACGGUCUUGCUGUCACUUAUAGAUGGAUCCGCGCUGCAUUAGCUAGUUGGUAAGGUAACGGCUUACCAAGGCAACGAUGCAUAGCCGACCUGAGAGGGUGGUCGGCCACACUGGAUCUGAGACACGGUCCAGACUCCUACGGGAGGCAGCAGUAGGGAAUCUUCCGCAAUGGGCGAAAGCCUGACGGAGCAACGCCGCGUGAGUGAUGAAGGUCUUCGGAUCGUAAAACUCUGUUAUUGGGGAAGAACAAAUGUGUAAGUAACUGUGCACAUCUUGACGGUACCUAAUCAGAAAGCCACGGCUAACUACGUG